UUUAAAUCCAUAAUUUUCUGUCUUUUUUGCUUCAAAUUACCUCCCUUUGGUAUAGCUCUCUAACAUAGGAGGAAUAAACGGUAGUUUGCUUACAUUGUUUUCAAUAACAGUGUACAGAAGACUAGAAGAAAAUUACAAACUUGGAGCAGUCUGAGCCUCAGUUUUGGCGUUUUCAUGAGUCUUAAUUACGAAUGAAAUUCGCCACUUUGAAGCCAAACUCGGAAAGAAGCAGAAACAGAAUUGGAUGAGCUGAUAUAGAAUUAGACAGGAAAAACAUUAUCAUUAUGAGAAUAC